GUGGAUGCUGACUUCACCCACACCUCUUUCGCGACAUCAUCGGGACAGAAAUCUGGAUCAUUGUCCAUCUUCAGGCCUCCAUACCUUACUGGAAGUUGCUCCGCAGCAAUAUAUCUGCAGAAUUUCAGGAAUACCAAUUGUAAGUAUUAUUUUUGUAUUCUUAUUAAAUAAUUAAGUGCAUUGAAUGGCUAACUAGUGAAAAAUCUUAAACUUAGAAUUCUCUUACUUCAGUAGAAUUUCUGUAACGUUGGAUGGCCUGGCUGUAAUGAACUUGUUCUUAGUCCUUGGGGUUAGGAAAGGGGACAGAACUGUAUUGAACGCGUAGUACCACAAUGGUACAUUGAUAAAUAUCUGCACAGAAACACGAUUCAGGACGGAUUUGAUAACAGGAGAUCGAAAGAAUAAGAACGAAUAAAAAAUGUGUAUAUAUUAGGCUUACGUUGGUAUAGACAAAUUCAGGGUAGUUGUCCUGAAGAACCUCAACAACUCUCCUGGUGGCAAGCCGGACUUCUUUCUUAGUAGGCAAAGGAGUGUUCUUGAGAUCAUUGAUCUGAAGAAUCUCGCAAGUCCCACCAGGAUUGAAAUCCAGCUGUUCAAUCACACAUUUCUCCAUCUUCCUUAUCCUCCACCUCAUAAACCUCUCCCUCUUUUCUUCAUCUCCAAGCAUCUUAUCAGCAGCCUUGUCGAAUCCUUGUCGAAUCCCAGCAUUCCGUACACAUUGUAACAGAUCGGGUGUCCCUCCCGGUCAUGGCCGUCCUCGUACACAACCGGAUCGAGAUGAUCGGUCUGGUCGUCCUUCUCGCCCAGAAUCGAGUCGAUUUUGUUCUCCUUCCUCCAUUUCAAGGUGUUUUUCAGCAUUUCGAAUGCUUCGAUCACACGAAACUCUCUUGCCCUCAGGAAUUUCAGGAGCACCACGUCCGUGCUCGCGUUUCCUUUGCUUGGCAUCAACGAGGCCCCCCAUAGAGAAAGAUUCUGAUUCUGAUGAUUAACAACAGCAGAAUCAUCAAUCAGAAUCUCUUUCCCUUUCCGUUCUUUCUCUGCGGUCAAGGUUUCAUCUUUGACUUUAUUCUCAUCUUCUGCUUCUGUUUGUUUAGUUUCUCCUUUGCUGCCUUCAGUCAUCUCGGAUUUUUCCUUCUGUUGAUCUGAAGGUUUGACCUUUUCAUCAUCUUCAGGUUUGUCCUCGAAGAAUUUGUUGGUCAGGACAGCUUCUUCGAUCUUGGAUUUGAGUUCCAGCAACGCCUUGCGCUCGUACUCUUUCAAAUCGGAGAGGAGAACGGUUUGUUCUCGAGACGAAGAGCUUUCCUCAUGAACACCCUUGUUCUUCUCGAUUUCGUCAACAGCAAAGGUGACUUCUUUUUGCUGAACAACCACUUCCUCAGCUUUCUUCCCACCAUCAGGACUCUUGCCUUCUUCUUGUGAUGCUUCAGCUUUUAUUACCAUUUCCUUUGGCUCCUCCUUAACCUGGGAGGCAGAAAGAUCCUCCUUUUCCACAGGGAUAACUUUCUCAUUCUCAGUAACGUUCAAAGGAGCUUCAUUUCCUUUUGCAGGUGAUUCUUGUCGUUUUUCCUGAGAGUCAGGUUGUUGUUGUUGCUGUUGGUGUUCUUGUUGUUUCUGUUCUUGGAUAGGUUGAGGUGUUGGCUGAUCUAUCACCUUCUCGACAAUAUCAACUAUUGCAGGCUGUUCAGGAGGAACAUGGUGUUCUUCUGUUGAGGAUGGUGGGUUUGGUUGUUGUUGUUGUUCCAAGGGAGGAGUAGCAGCAGCAGCAGCCGCAUCUAUCAUAGUUGUAGUCGUGGAUUUCGGUGAUGGUUGUUUGAGUUGUUGCUGA
rnacentral:lncRNA from 1 species